rnacentral:rRNA from 1 species
AGAGAGAGACAUGCGCGCAUAUCAAUAAGCGGAGGAAAAGAAACUAACUAGGAUUCCCUUAGUAACGGCGAGUGAAGCGGGAAGAGCUCAAAUUUGAAAUCUUCAAGGUUCUACCUUGACGAAUUGCAGUUUAUAGAAGUGUUUUCUGUUAGUGGAGUGGCAAAAGUUCUUUGGAAUAGGACAUCAUAGAGGGUGAGAAUCCCGUAUUUGGUCAUUCCUCCUAGCGUUGUGAUACACUUUCAAAGAGUCGGAUUGUUUGGGAAUGCAGUCCAAAAUGGGUGGUAAAUUUCAUCUAAAGCUAAAUAUUGGCGAGAGACCGAUAGCGAACAAGUACCGUGAGGGAAAGAUGAAAAGAACUUUGAAAAGAGAGUUAAACAGUACGUGAAAUUGUCAAAAGGGAAGCGUUUGACACCAGUGUUGUUUUUCCGAAAAUCAAUUACGAAUGUUUUGUUUUUAAGAAGUUAUGACUUCAUCGGCUUGCUUCUUUCUUUACGAAACUUUCUUAAUGCACUUUUCGGUUAACAAGUCAACAUCAAUUUCUUUUGUUGUAAAAGGGUAUGAGGAAGGUGGCUUUCUUUUCGGAGAAAGUGUUUAUAGCCUUGUGCCUCUGCAAUCGGAGAGAUUGAGGUCUGCAGCGUAGAUCCUUCGGGGUUAGAUACAUUUGUGCUAAGUUAUAGCCUUUCAUAGACAACUUGUUGAUUAUGAUUAGUCUUGUAGCUUACUCGCUUAUGCUAUUUUACCUACGCUUAGGAUGUUGACAGCAGUAUAGACUGU